rnacentral:rRNA from 1 species
AGCAGUAGCCGCGGUAAUACAGAGGCCUCAAGCGUUGUUCGGAUUCAUUGGGCGUAAAGGGUGCGUAGGUGGCUUGGUAAGUUGAAGGUGAAAUCUCGGGGCUUAACCCCGAAACUGCCUUCAAUACUGCUAGGCUCGAGGACUGUAGAGGAGAAUGGAAUUCACGGUGUAGCAGUGAAAUGCGUAGAUAUCGUGAGGAAGACCAGUGGCGAAGGCGAUUCUCUGGGCAGUUCCUGACACUGAGGCACGAAGGCCAGGGGAGCAAACGGGAUUAGAUACCCCUGUAGUCCCUGUCUCUUAUAC